GGGARGAGAUAAGUKCUGMAAGCAUSKAAGCACGAARCUUGCCCCGAGAUGAGUKCUCCCUGACUCCUKGAGAGUCCUGAAGGAACGUUGAAGACGACGACGUUGAUAGGCCGGGUGUGUAAGCGCAGCGAUGCGUUGAGCUAACCGGUACUAAUGAACCGUGAGGCUUAACCUUACAACGCCGAAG
rnacentral:rRNA from 1 species